rnacentral:sRNA from 1 species
GUAACAAGGUUUCCGUAGGUGAACCUGCGGAAGGAUCAUUAUUGAAUUAAACCCNGGUCGGGUUGUUGCUGGCCNCUAGAGGCGUGCACGCCGCCAUCGUUUCAACCUCCUGUUUGGGGACUGCUGUGUGGGCUGCACACACGGUCUAUGUCUUUAUAUACUCCCUAAAGUGUAUAGAAUGUCUUAUUGGCCUCAGUGCCUUUAAUCAAAUACAACUUUCAACAACGGAUCUCUUGGCUCUCGCAUCGAUGAAGAACGCAGCGAAAUGCGAUAAGUAAUGUGAAUUGCAGAAUUCAGUGAAUCAUCGAAUCUUUGAACGCACCUUGCGCCCCUUGGUAUUCCGAGGAGCAUGCCUGUUUGAGUGUCAUUAAAUUCUCAACCUAACCAGCUUUUUGAUUGGAAUAGGCUUGGAUAUGGGGGCUGCUGGCUUCACAGAAGUCGGCUCUCCUUAAAUGUAUUAGUGGAACCAUUGUUGACUUUCCCUGGUGUGAUAAUUAUCUACGCCUCAAGGCUAUGGGUUUUGCUUAUAACCGUCUUUACCAAUUGACCUCAAAUCAGGUAGGACUACCCGCUGAACUUAAGCAUAUCAAUAAGCG